CCUGACUCAUGAAGCGUGGAGCGACCCAGGAACAUCCCAGCUCCUCAUGUCCCACAUUCUUCAGGCUUUCUCUUAGUUUUGGCAUGUGCAUGUAAAUGUCAACAGGCAUGGUGGCUCACACGUGUAAUUCUAGCACUUUGGGAGGCCGAGGCAGGUGGAGCACCUGAGGUCAGGAGUUCAAGACCAGCCUGGUCAACAUGGCGAAACCCCGUCUCUACUAAAAAUACGAAAUUAGCCAGGCGUGGUGGCGGACGCCUGUAAUCCCAGCUAUAAUCCCAGCUACUCAGGAGGCUGAAGCAGGAGAAUCGCUUGAACCUGGGAGGCAGAGCUUGCAGUGAGCCGAGAUCACGCCACUACACUGCAGCCUGGGUGACAGAGUGAGACUCCAUCUCAAAAAACAACAACAAAAUAAAUAAAUAAAUAAAAAUAAAAUGUCUUGUUCUCUUUUUUCCUCCAGUGCCCAGAUCAGCGCCUGAUAUAUACUUGGCACACAAUAACCACUCUUGAAAUUCAUGAAGGAAUCUGGACAUUUAGGGGGUUCACAGAAUCCGCCGCUUUUAGGGAAGAUUCUCUGCCUGAUGUGUGAGCGCUCUAACCUCUUCAUCUGUGUUCAGUCCCCUUGCAAUGCUUCUCUAAGAUCAAUAAAGGCAAAAACCAGGAGAUCCCAUAAAUCCCGCUGAGCCUGUCAUAGCUAUCAAAUUAUACCCAGAUAAAGCUUCUGGUGGCUAAUGACAUGGCCAUCACCCAGCGUGGACGUGGGCAGGAGGGGCUCUCCGGGAGCAUCUGGUCUGCUGUGGAGACACUUGUCAUCUGGAGGCUCUGUGGCUCUAAUGGAGGGUGAUGCUUUGAACGCGACUAUCUCCCCCAUAAAAAAAUAAAUAAAUAAUAAGUAUAAUUUAAAAAUAAACAAAGAUCUGGAUUUGCAGGCU
rnacentral:lncRNA from 1 species